rnacentral:rRNA from 1 species
AGAGUUUGAUCCUGGCUCAGAAUCAACGCUGGCGGCGCGCCUAACACAUGCAAGUCGAACGAGAAAGUGGAGCAAUCCAUGAGUACAGUGGCGUACGGGUGAGUAACACGUGGGUAAUCUACCUCUUAGUGUGGAAUAACCCUGGGAAACCGGGGCUAAUACCGCAUAAGCUCGAGAGAGGAAAGCAGCAAUGCGCUGAGAGAGGAGCCCGCGGCCGAUUAGCUAGUUGGCAGGGUAAAAGCCUACCAAGGCAAAGAUCGGUAGCCGGCCUGAGAGGGCACACGGCCACACUGGCACUGAAACACGGGCCAGGCUCCUACGGGAGGCAGCAGUGGGGAAUCUUGCACAAUGGGCGAAAGCCUGAUGCAGCGACGCCGCGUGAGCGAUGAAGCCCUUCGGGGUGUAAAGCUCUUUCGACGGGAACGAUAAUGACGGUACCCGGAGAAGAAGCUGCGGCUAACUACGUGCCAGCAGCCGCGGUAAUACGUAGGCAGCGAGCGUUGUUCGGAAUUACUGGGCGUAAAGAGUGUGUAGGCGGUGCUCCCAGUCUGUUGUGAAAUCUCCCGGCUUAACUGGGAGGGUGCAGCGGAAACUAGAGUGCUAGAGGGUGG